rnacentral:rRNA from 1 species
CACCCGAGACUCAGUGAAAUUGAACUCGCUGUGAAGAUGCAGUGUACCCGCGGCAAGACGGAAAGACCCCGUGAACCUUUACUAUAGCUUGACACUGAACAUUGAGCCUUGAUGUGUAGGAUAGGUGGGAGGCUUUGAAGCGUGGACGCCAGUCUGCGUGGAGCCGACCUUGAAAUACCACCCUUUAAUGUUUGAUGUUCUAACGUGGACCCGUAAUCCGGGUUGCGGACAGUGUCUGGUGGGUAGUUUGACUGGGGCGGUCUCCUCCUAAAGAGUAACGGAGGAGCACGAAGGUUGGCUAAUCCUGGUCGGACAUCAGGAGGUUAGUGCAAUGGCAUAAGCCAGCUUGACUGCGAGCGUGACGGCGCGAGCAGGUGCGAAAGCAGGUCAUAGUGAUCCGGUGGUUCUGAAUGGAAGGGCCAUCGCUCAACGGAUAAAAGGUACUCCGGGGAUAACAGGCUGAUACCGCCCAAGAGUUCAUAUCGACGGCGGUGUUUGGCACCUCGAUGUCGGCUCAUCACAUCCUGGGGCUGAAGUAGGUCCCAAGGGUAUGGCUGUUCGCCAUUUAAAGUGGUACGCGAGCUGGGUUUAGAACGUCGUGAGACAGUUCGGUCCCUAUCUGCCGUGGGCGCUGGAGAACUGAGGGGGGCUGCUCCUAGUACGAGAGGACCGGAGUGGACGCAUCACUGGUGUUCGGGUUGUCAUGCCAAUGGCACU